AACGAACGCUGGCGGCAGGCUUAACACAUGCAAGUCGAACGCCCCUCAAUGUGAUUGGCGGACGGGUGAGUAACGCGUGGGGACAUACCCUUUUCUACGGAAUAGCUCUGGGAAACUGGAAUUAAUACCGUAUACGCCCUACGGGGGAAAGAUUUAUCGGGGAAGGAUUGGCCCGCGUUGGAUUAGCUAGUUGGUGGGGUAAAGGCCUACCAAGGCGACGAUCCAUAGCUGGUCUGAGAGGAUGAUCAGCCACAUUGGGACUGAGACACGGCCCAAACUCCUACGGGAGGCAGCAGUGGGGAAUAUUGGACAAUGGGGGCAAGCCUGAUCCAGCCAUGCCGCGUGAGUGAUGAAGGCCUUAGGGUUGUAAAGCUCUUUCACCGAUGAAGAUAAUGACGGUAGUCGGAGAAGAAGCCCCGGCUAACUUCGUG
rnacentral:rRNA from 1 species